rnacentral:rRNA from 1 species
GAGCCUGAAUCAGUGUGUGUGUUAGUGGAAGCGUCUGGAAAGGCGCGCGAUACAGGGUGACAGCCCCGUACACAAAAAUGCACAUAUUGUGAGCUCGAUGAGUAGGGCGGGACACGUGGUAUCCUGUCUGAAUAUGGGGGGACCAUCCUCCAAGGCUAAAUACUCCUGACUGACCGAUAGUGAACCAGUACCGUGAGGGAAAGGCGAAAAGAACCCCGGCGAGGGGAGUGAAAAAGAACCUGAAACCGUGUACGUACAAGCAGUGGGAGCCUCUUAAUGGGGUGACUGCGUACCUUUUGUAUAAUGGGUCAGCGACUUAUAUUCUGUAGCAAGGUUAACCGAAUAGGGGAGCCGAAGGGAAACCGAGUCUUAACUGGGCGUUAAGUUGCAGGGUAUAGACCCGAAACCCGGUGAUCUAGCCAUGGGCAGGUUGAAGGUUGGGUAACACUAACUGGAGGACCGAACCGACUAAUGUUGAAAAAUUAGCGGAUGACUUGUGGCUGGGGGUGAAAGGCCAAUCAAACCGGGAGAUAGCUGGUUCUCCCCGAAAGCUAUUUAGGUAGCGCCUCGUGAAUUCAUCUCCGGGGGUAGAGCACUGUUUCGGCAAGGGGGUCAUCCCGACUUACCAACCCGAUGCAAACUGCGAAUACCGGAGAAUGUUAUCACGGGAGACACACGGCGGGUGCUAACGUCCGUCGUGAAGAGGGAAACAACCCAGACCGCCAGCUAAGGUCCCAAAGUCAUGGUUAAGUGGGAAACGAUGUGGGAAGGCCCAGACAGCCAGGAUGUUGGCUUAGAAGCAGCCAUCAUUUAAAGAAAGCGUAAUAGCUCACUGGUCGAGUCGGCCUGCGCGGAAGAUGUAACGGGGCUAAACCAUGCACCGAAGCUGCGGCAGCGACACUAUGUGUUGUUGGGUAGGGGAGCGUUCUGUAAGCCUGUGAAGGUGGCCUGUGAGGGUUGCUGGAGGUAUCAGAAGUGCGAAUGCUGACAUAAGUAACGAUAAAGCGGGUGAAAAGCCCGCUCGCCGGAAGACCAAGGGUUCCUGUCCAACGUUAAUCGGGGCAGGGUGAGUCGACCCCUAAGGCGAGGCCGAAAGGCGUAGUCGAUGGGAAACAGGUUAAUAUUCCUGUACUUGGUGUUACUGCGAAGGGGGGACGGAGAAGGCUAUGUUGGCCGGGCGACGGUUGUCCCGGUUUAAGCGUGUAGGCUGGUUUUCCAGGCAAAUCCGGAAAAUCAAGGCUGAGGCGUGAUGACGAGGCACUACGGUGCUGAAGCGACAAAUGCCCUGCUUCCAGGAAAAGCCUCUAAGCAUCAGGUAACAUCAAAUCGUACCCCAAACCGACACAGGUGGUCAGGUAGAGAAUACCAAGGCGCUUGAGAGAACUCGGGUGAAGGAACUAGGCAAAAUGGUGCCGUAACUUCGGGAGAAGGCACGCUGAUAUGUAGGUGAAGCGACUUGCUCGUGGAGCUGAAAUCAGUCGAAGAUACCAGCUGGCUGCAACUGUUUAUUAAAAACACAGCACUGUGCAAACACGAAAGUGGACGUAUACGGUGUGACGCCUGCCCGGUGCCGGAAGGUUAAUUGAUGGGGUUAGCGGUAACGCGAAGCUCUUGAUCGAAGCCCCGGUAAACGGCGGCCGUAACUAUAACGGUCCUAAGGUAGCGAAAUUCCUUGUCGGGUAAGUUCCGACCUGCACGAAUGGCGUAAUGAUGGCCAGGCUGUCUCCACCCGAGACUCAGUGAAAUUGAACUCGCUGUGAAGAUGCAGUGUACCCGCGGCAAGACGGAAAGACCCCGUGAACCUUUACUAUAGCUUGACACUGAACAUUGAGCCUUGAUGUGUAGGAUAGGUGGGAGGCUUUGAAGUGUGGACGCCAGUCUGCAUGGAGCCGACCUUGAAAUACCACCCUUUAAUGUUUGAUGUUCUAACGUGGGCCCCUUACCGGGGUUGCGGACAGUGUCUGGUGGGUAGUUUGACUGGGGCGGUCUCCUCCUAAAGAGUAACGGAGGAGCACGAAGGUUGGCUAAUCCUGGUCGGACAUCAGGAGGUUAGUGCAAUGGCAUAAGCCAGCUUGACUGCGAGCGUGACGGCGCGAGCAGGUGCGAAAGCAGGUCAUAGUGAUCCGGUGGUUCUGAAUGGAAGGGCCAUCGCUCAACGGAUAAAAGGUACUCCGGGGAUAACAGGCUGAUACCGCCCAAGAGUUCAUAUCGACGGCGGUGUUUGGCACCUCGAUGUCGGCUCAUCACAUCCUGGGGCUGAAGUAGGUCCCAAGGGUAUGGCUGUUCGCCAUUUAAAGUGGUACGCGAGCUGGGUUUAGAACGUCGUGAGACAGUUCGGUCCCUAUCUGCCGUGGGCGCUGGAGAACUGAGGGGGGCUGCUCCUAGUACGAGAGGACCGGAGUGGACGCAUCACUGGUGUUCGGGUUGUCAUGCCAAUGGCACUGCCCGGUAGCUAAAUGCGGAAGAGAUAAGUGCUGAAAGCAUCUAAGCACGAAACUUGCCCCGAGAUGAGUUCUCCCUGACUCCUUGAGAGUCCUGAAGGAACGUUGAAGACGACGACGUUGAUAGGCCGGGUGUGUAAGCGCAGCGAUGCGUUGAGCUAACCGGUACUAAUGAACCGUGAGGCUUAACCUUACAACGCCGAAG